GGGUGAUUAGCUCAGCUGGGAGAGCAUCUGCCUUACAAGCAGAGGGUCGGCGGUUCGAUCCCGUCAUCACCCACCA
rnacentral:tRNA from 1024 species